rnacentral:lncRNA from 1 species
GAACCAGUCAGAGCUCAAAGAGGGAGAGGGGGAAAAGUUGAGGAAAAAGUUAACAUGAAGAUGGUGCUGUGGUGGAACUGCUAUUGGUUCUAAUGGUGUUCUUGGAAGAUGACAAUCCUCGUGUUUCAUAGAGGGCACUGUGGUUUUGUUGAUGGUGGUGCCCUGUACACUACUUACAAGUUCUAAUGGCAUUCGGGGAAGAUGAUGAUGGAUAAGUGUUUCUUAAUUGGUUGGUUUUGGAGGCCUGAAUAUUUAUUUGUUUCGUCAUUUGAACAACAAAAAAAUAACAACCAAGGCAACAAUAAUAACCAAGCUUGGUAUUCCAAAAGAUAAACCUGCGCGCAGAAUUCAUGAUGGAAUGUCAUAGAAUGAUUCUCCUACAUACGUUGCAAUGUCUAGUUUUUCUAAAAGAGCACUUGUUAAUUUGUACCUUUUUAAGUUCAACUAUGUCCUUUUUUUUUUUAGGCAAGUUUAACUAUGUCUUUAACAAACCUUGUUCACUAUACAUGGUGAUAAUAAUGUACCAACACAAUAAGCAGAAACGAAGGAUCAAGGGUAUAUGCUUGGUUCGAAGCCAAGGUUCCCUGAACCUUGAAGACAAUCUGCAGUUGCUAUUCACUUUGAGUUUAAGAUUUUUUCAUAUGGAUGAAGUGGGUUAGCCUGGAGAAGACUUAAAUUUUUAGAGUGUGAAUUAUGAACCAUGAUUAUUACCAUGUGAG